AGAGUUUGAUCAUGGCUCAGAUUGAACGCUGGCGGCAGGCCUAACACAUGCAAGUCGAGCGGUAGAGAGAAGCUUGCUUCUCUUGAGAGCGGCGGACGGGUGAGUAAUGCCUAGGAAUCUGCCUGGUAGUGGGGGAUAACGUUCGGAAACGGACGCUAAUACCGCAUACGUCCUACGGGAGAAAGCAGGGGACCUUCGGGCCUUGCGCUAUCAGAUGAGCCUAGGUCGGAUUAGCUAGUUGGUGAGGUAAUGGCUCACCAAGGCGACGAUCCGUAACUGGUCUGAGAGGAUGAUCAGUCACACUGGAACUGAGACACGGUCCAGACUCCUACGGGAGGCAGCAGUGGGGAAUAUUGGACAAUGGGCGAAAGCCUGAUCCAGCCAUGCCGCGUGUGUGAAGAAGGUCUUCGGAUUGUAAAGCACUUUAAGUUGGGAGGAAGGGCAGUAAAUUAAUACUUUGCUGUUUUGACGUUACUGACAGAAUAAGCACCGGCUAACUCUGUGCCAGCAGCCGCGGUAAUACAGAGGGUGCAAGCGUUAAUCGGAAUUACUGGGCGUAAAGCGCGCGUAGGUGGUUUGUUAAGUUGGAUGUGAAAUCCCCGGGCUCAACCUGGGAACUGCAUUCAAAACUGACUGACUAGAGUAUGGUAGAGGGUGGUGGAAUUUCCUGUGUAGCGGUGAAAUGCGUAGAUAUAGGAAGGAACACCAGGUGGCGAAGCGACCACCUGGACUAAUACUGACACUGAGGUGCGAAAGCGUGGGGAGCAAACAGGAUUAGAUACCCUGGUAGUCCACGCCGUAAACGAUGUCAACUAGCCG
rnacentral:rRNA from 1 species